AGUGAACGCUGGCGGUAGGCCUAACACAUGCAAGUCGAACGGCAGCACAGUAAGAGCUUGCUCUUACGGGUGGCGAGUGGCGGACGGGUGAGGAAUACAUCGGAAUCUACUUUUUCGUGGGGGAUAACGUAGGGAAACUUACGCUAAUACCGCAUACGACCUACGGGUGAAAGCAGGGGAUCUUCGGACCUUGCGCGAUUGAAUGAGCCGAUGUCGGAUUAGCUAGUUGGCGGGGUAAAGGCCCACCAAGGCGACGAUCCGUAGCUGGUCUGAGAGGAUGAUCAGCCACACUGGAACUGAGACACGGUCCAGACUCCUACGGGAGGCAGCAGUGGGGAAUAUUGGACAAUGGGCGCAAGCCUGAUCCAGUCAUACCGCGUGGGUGAAGAAGGCCUUCGGGUUGUAAAGCCCUUUUGUUGGGAAAGAAAAGCAGCAGGUUAAUACCCCGCUGUCCUGACGGUACCCAAAGAAUAAGCACCGGCUAACUUCGUG
rnacentral:rRNA from 1 species